ensembl:miRNA Mir8119 microRNA 8119
AGGUUCAACCAGGCUGGAGAAACGGAAAGAAGAGGAGAGGAGAGGGAGCUAGGGUCAGAUCCUGUCUUUUUUCUUUGACCCCAGCCUCAUUUCCUACCCCACAGCUGCCCAUCCGGAAUGGCUCUGAAG